rnacentral:rRNA from 1 species
CUUCGCAAURCGCGAAAGCKUGACGGGGCUAUCCCGAGUGCCAUCUGCUGAGGAUGGCUUUUACCUAGUAUAGAUAGCUGGGGGAAUAAKGAGAGGGCAAGUCUGGUGUCAGCCGCCGCGGUAAUACCAGCUCUCCGAGUUGUGGGGAUGUUUAUUGGGCCUGAAGCAUCCGUAGCCGGCUGGGCAAGUCCCCUGUUAAAUCCACGCGACUAAUCGAUUGGUCUGCGGGGGAUACUGUUCGGCUAGGGGGCGGGAGAGGCCSUCGGUAUUCUUGGGGUAGGGGUGAAAUCCUAUAAUCCCAGGARGACCACCAGUGGCGAAGGCUGUCGGCUAAAACGCGCCCGACGGUGAGGGAUGAAAGCUGGGGGAGCGAAMCGGAUUAGAUACCCCGGUAGUCCCAGCUGUAAACUAUGCAGRCUAGGUGUUAGGGCGGCUACGUGCCGCUCUAGUGCCGCAGGGAAGCUGUUAAGYCUGCCGCCUGGGGAGUACGGCCGCAAGGCUGAAACUUAAAGGAAUUGGYGGGGGGACACCAAACUUCCAAACUUAAGGAAUUGGCGGGGGAGCAC